rnacentral:rRNA from 1 species
CCUACGGGCGGCAGCAGUGGGGAAUAUUGGACAAUGGGGGGAACCCUGAUCCAGCCAUGCCGCGUGUGUGAAGAAGGCCCUCGGGUUGUAAAGCACUUUCAGUGAGGAAGAACGCCUGGUGGUUAAUACCCAUCAGGAAAGACAUCACUCACAGAAGAAGCACCGGCUAACUCCGUGCCAGCAGCCGCGGUAAUACGGAGGGUGCGAGCGUUAAUCGGAAUUACUGGGCGUAAAGCGCGCGUAGGUGGCUUGAUAAGCCGGUUGUGAAAGCCCCGGGCUCAACCUGGGAACGGCAUCCGGAACUGUCAAGCUAGAGUGCAGGAGAGGAAGGUAGAAUUCCCGGUGUAGCAGUGAAAUGCGUAGAGAUCGGGAGGAAUACCAGUGGCGAAGGCGGCCUUCUGGACUGACACUGACACUGAGGUGCGAAAGCGUGGGUAGCAAACAGGAUUAGAUACCCUUGUAGUC